rfam:Gossypium hirsutum cultivar TM-1 unplaced genomic scaffold scaffold6413.1, whole genome shotgun sequence
GGGUCCGAUCAUACUAGCAUUAAUGCACCGGAUCCCAUCAGAACUUCGCAGCUAAGCGUGAUUGGGCGAGAGUAGUACUAGGAUGGGUGACCUCCUGGGAAGUCCUCGUGUUGCACCCC